AACGAGACUAGAGUCACGUCUUGAUAUUGUGAUUAUCCUGGUGUGCUUAAGUCCUCGCAGAAUAAACUCUCUGCUUAUUCAUUGGCUGCUGCUUCUCAUUGCCCGGCCAAUCACCAGCUCAGAAACAAAA